CUGCAUUCUAAAAGAAACCAUUACAAAAAUAAGGAAAAAUUAAUUUUACAAACUAUGUCAUAUGUUUUCUUUGUUUCCUCAAUAUAACUCUGAUUAGAAUGUCAAACAAAGAUAAAAUCAUCCGUAUUAAUCGUCAAUAUCGUGUAUAUUAUUAAUAUGAGCGUCUUUGCGUUAAAUUCGUGCUACACCACACCAUGCACUUAUAUCGACGUCGCAAUGCAAAAGAAGAAGGGCAAGAAAGAAACCUGUCCUGGUCUGGCGAUUUAAGGGAACAUUUGUUUAAGCCUGUCUAGAUCUUUUAUCAGUCUAGAAAGAUGUUGGAGAAAAGACAUCAUCCUCUUCUAUAAUCUCCAUCUGUAAUUGGACUAACAACUGAACCAGUGAAGGCAGGCAACUUACUCUCCAUUCGACCUUGCAGGUCACACCAUGGUCUCAAGAGUGAAAAUGAGUGCUCUAUGGAUUGAACAGAAAAGGUGAAUCAAAAUUCCAACCAUCUGUAUGAGGGUCUGGAUGGAUAAUGGAUGCCCACUGGAGCUGGAAAUGAUGGAUCAGGUGGAUCCACACUUGAACCAUCUGUAUGAUGAUCUGCACCCACUGGAUCUGUAAAUGGUGGUGCAGAAAGACACAGCACAUCAUUAUAUCGUUGGCUCCGCCCACUGGUGUUCAGUCUAAAGUAGUAGUUGUUGACAAUCAUAAAGUUGUAAUAACAGUAAGAUUGUGAUGUCAGACAAACAUUGUGCUGUUGCUGGCUGUGGGAAAUUAGUGUCUUUGUAAGGGUCGCAAAUAAUUUGAAAAUAUUUAUGUUUCUAAAUAUGCCCCCCUACCAUGAACUAAACUGGACUGUUGCAGAGACCAAGUGUAGUAGGGUACACUACUAUGCAGGUGACAUUCUUUUGUUUAUUGAAGCUAUGACAAAUAAUUUGUCUGUUUAGUUAAUGUUUUAUACAGUGUAACUGUACCUAAACAUUGUUCCUUGAGGUCCUCUGCUAUUUACAUUUUGUAUGUCUUCCUUAUUUAACACACCUUAUUCAAAUCAUCAGCUCAUUAGUAGAGAUCUUCAUGAACUGAACUGAGGCUGUGUCCAAAUGUUCACACUUGUUGUCUUUGCACUAGACUACUUACAUUACGUUUUUUUUUUUUUUGUAUUUGGCCUAAGUAUUCUAGUGGGCGUGAAGAUCCCAAGCGUGCAUGUAGAAUUAUUCAUCCGAUGGGACACACUUAGCAUGGGUAAAAAUUUCAAUCCAGGUAGUGCCAGCAAUUUGCACCAAAACGUAUUUGUGUUUUAUUUCCUACUUUUAAUUUAUAUUUAACAUUUUUAAGUUUUUCUGUAAAUAAAAUGAACACUCUGAAAUGAACAUUUGCUUAUAUCAAACUUUUAGAUGCAGAAUUCUUUGCUCCUGUAAAAAAGCUCUUUGUUUUGAGUAUGUAGCUUUAUUAAAGUGUAUUAUUUAUUCAGUAGUCCCUAAAUAAACGACACAAUGUUGCAGAUGUUUCACAAAAUGCAUAACAAUAGCAUACCACAAAGUGAUAUUUGGACGCAGCCUCAGUCUGUCAAAUCAAAGAGACAUACAGAAUGCACAGAGCAGUGGGACUCCAUGAACAGAGUUGAGAACCACUGCUGUAACUCA